ACACAUCCAGUUUGUAAAAUGCUCAGUUCAACUUCGGCCAGCAAUCAAAAAAGUUCAUUAUGAAAGUCUUCAAUUUAAAUCUCUUAAGAUUGUUGAUGUUUUUCCUAGCGCUCAACGUAUUAGAAUUUGAGAAGGGAGAACCGAUGUGUCCCCUCUUUAAGCAGUGCUCAGACCUAAAACAUGAUUAUAUUUCAACCACAACGACAACCACAGAGAAAACCUUAAAGUAAAGAUUGGUACCCGACGAUGCCGCAAAACCAAAGUUAAAAAUAUUAAUAAUAUGCAAAACCUUUCCAUAUUUAAUCAAAAACAUUAUUGAUAAUUGUAAUCCCUUGUGUAAAAUUGGCAACAUAAAUAUACUACACUAUCUUAUGUGAACAAAA